rnacentral:rRNA from 1 species
CGGACGGGUGAGUAACGCGUGGAUAACCUGCCCCAUACCGGGGGAUAACAGCCGGAAACGGCUGCUAAUACCGCAUAAGCGCACGGGAAUGCAUGUUUCAGUGUGAAAAACUCCGGUGGUAUGGGAUGGAUCCGCGUCUGAUUAGCUGGUUGGCGGGGUAGAGGCCCACCAAGGCGACGAUCAGUAGCCGACCUGAGAGGGUGGCCGGCCACAUUGGGACUGAGACACGGCCCAGACUCCUACGGGAGGCAGCAG